AUACGGAGGGUGCAAGCGUUAAUCGGAAUUACUGGGCGUAAAGCGUACGUAGGCGGUUAUUUAAGUCAGAUGUGAAAGCCCCGGGCUUAACUUGGGAACUGCAUUUGAAACUGGGUAACUAGAGUUUAGUAGAGGGGAGUGGAAUUUCAGGUGUAGCGGUGAAAUGCGUAGAGAGCUGAGGGAACACCAGUGGCGAAGGCGACUCCCUGGACUAAAACUGACGCUGAGGUACAAAAGCGUGGGUAGCAAACAGGAUUAGAAACCCCGGUAGUCC
rnacentral:rRNA from 1 species